rnacentral:rRNA from 1 species
GACGAACCGAGCGAACGUUAUUCGGAAUCACUGGGCUUAAAGGGCGCGUAGGCGGGCCGUCAAGUCAGGGGUGAAAGCCCCCAGCUCAACUGGGGAAGUGCCUCUGAUACUGGCGGUCUCGAGGGAGGUAGGGGCGUGCGGAACUUCCGGUGGAGCGGUGAAAUGCGUAGAUAUCGGGAGGAACACCAGUGGCGAAGGCGGCGAUCUGGGUAGAUACUGACGCUGAGGUGCGAAAGCGUGGGGAGCAAACAGG